rnacentral:rRNA from 1 species
GCAGUCGAGCGGACAGAUGGGAGCUUGCUCCCUGAUGUUAGCGGCGGACGGGUGAGUAACACGUGGGUAACCUGCCUGUAAGACUGGGAUAACUCCGGGAAACCGGGGCUAAUACCGGAUGGUUGUUUGAACCGCAUGGUUCAGACAUAAAAGGUGGCUUCGGCUACCACUUACAGAUGGACCCGCGGCGCAUUAGCUAGUUGGUGAGGUAACGGCUCACCAAGGCGACGAUGCGUAGCCGACCUGAGAGGGUGAUCGGCCACACUGGGACUGAGACACGGCCCAGACUCCUACGGGAGGCAGCAGUAGGGAAUCUUCCGCAAUGGACGAAAGUCUGACGGAGCAACGCCGCGUGAGUGAUGAAGGUUUUCGGAUCGUAAAGCUCUGUUGUUAGGGAAGAACAAGUGCCGUUCAAAUAGGGCGGCACCUUGACGGUACCUAACCAGAAAGCCACGGCUAACUACGUGCCAGCAGCCGCGGUAAUACGUAGGUGGCAAGCGUUGUCCGGAAUUAUUGGGCGUAAAGGGCUCGCAGGCGGUUUCUUAAGUCUGAUGUGAAAGCCCCCGGCUCAACCGGGGAGGGUCAUUGGAAACUGGGGAACUUGAGUGCAGAAGAGGAGAGUGGAAUUCCACGUGUAGCGGUGAAAUGCGUAGAGAUGUGGAGGAACACCAGUGGCGAAGGCGACUCUCUGGUCUGUAACUGACG